rnacentral:misc_RNA from 1 species
AACGCACAUUGCGCCCUUUGGUAUUCCAAAGGGCAUGCCUGUUCGAGCGUCAUUUGUACCUUCAAGCUUUGCUUGGUGUUGGGCGUUUUUUGUCUCCCUCUUGCUGGGAGACUCGCCUUAAAACGAUUGGCAGCCGGCCUACUGGUUUCGGAGCGCAGCACAUAUUUUGCACUCUGUGUCAGGAGAAAAGGACGGUAAUCCAUCAAGACUCUACAAAUUUUAACUUUUGACCUCGGAUCAGGUAGGGAUACCCGCUGAACUUAA